rnacentral:rRNA from 1 species
UACGGGAGGCGACAGUAGGGAAUCUUGGACAAUGGGCGCAAGCCUGAUCCAGCAAUGCCGCGUGGGUGCAUCCGGCCUUCGGGUUGUCAAGCCCUUUUGUACGGAAAGCCAUCCUGGUGGUUCAUCCCCGCCGGGGAUGACGGUACGUCAGCAUCAGCACCGGCUCACUUCGUGCCAGCAGCCGCGGUAAUA